CUCCUUCUCUCUCAUCUCUGGUUCUGCCCUGCUCUCAUUCUCUCUCAUCUUUUGUUCUGCUCUCAUCUCUCCUUCCUCUUUCGUUCCCAUCUCGUUCUGCUCUCAUCUCUCGUGUGAGGUCUUCGAUUUUCGUUCGAAUCUUGUUCGAGUUAAAGCAAGUGGUGAACGAUUAGAGAGACAGUUAGACCGGCGACACCGUCACCUGCAGCGCUUUCGACCAAUACACCGUCACCUUUAACGGCUUCCGGUACCGACGCUUCAAAGGUUUUUUUUUUCCCUGUUAAAGCUUACAAAACCCUAAUGUAAAUCUCUCUUUCGCUCAAUUUUUUCCCCAAUUACAAGUAAGUUUCUUCUCUUUUUCGCUUAAUUCAUCUUUAUAUUCUCUUAUGCUGUAUUUUUUGUUGAUUUUCUUAUAGAUUUAGUUGAAAUUUGUUGUAUUACGUUGUGUUUUUUUUUUUUUUUUUUUUUUUUUUUUUUUUUUUUUUUUUUUAUUUUUAAUCUCCGUUUUUUUGCUCAUUUUUUUCCCCAAUUUUAAGUAAUGUUUUUGCUAACCUUGGCUGUGUUUGUGGGUUCUUUGAUUUUGGAACUUUACUCGUUAUUUUGGGUUCACUGUUUCUUUUUUUCUUUUUCUUUUUUUAUUCAAUAACUUUGCUAUGAAUCUGAGUUUGUUUUGUUAAAUAAUUAGUUUAAUACAUUAUAAUUGGCCUAUGAACAAGUUGAGUUGCACUAUAUUCAUACUGAUGAAAAUUUGUAUGCAUUAGUCAAUUUUUUCAAGCAUUGGAUUUGAGUUUCAAUUUUGUUAAAUGAAGCUGAUAAAGAAUUGUUGCUUAUAUAACUUUGUCUUUUUCAUAUGAAAUACUAGAGUGUAUCAUGGUUUGAAAGGAAAUAGAAUAUGAGGCUGGUAAAUAUUAUCAUAUCUUAAUAUUAUAAUUACAUGUUUAGAAAUUCUAACAGUAUAUUGCAUGGGAAUGAGUAGGUGACAUGUGUACUUGCUCUAAAAUGUCAAUUGCAGGCUUUAGGUUUUGCUGAGUUUUCAAAAGGGGUUUGACAAGUCUGUGAAGUUGGGAAACAUUACGCAAAAAAUCUAAUGUUCUGUAUUAUCAUAGUAUUAAUUUAGAGUAUAUAUCUUCUAGAGUGGUUUGAAGCCACAUCCUAUACAAGUUUAGCAGAUAAUUUUUAAGGUUGGUUAUAUAUAUUUUUCAAUAUGCUAUGAGUUCCGUGCCCUUCUGUCUGGUGUUUUUGCUUUUUAAUCUACUGAAUGUUUUUAUUUUUCUAUAGUUGUAUAGAAAGGCGUAGUUGGGUUCUGGAUCAAGUGAUUUGUUGUAUUGUGGUCCUUGAGAAAGACUUCUAGUUGCCUGCAAAUAAUUAGCAAUUGUGACCUUUGUACAUAGUGCUACCUUUAAUGUGAGCCUUUAAUUAAUCUGUGUCAUGAUUCAAGCUACAUAUUGGCAACUUUAUGGAUUUGUUCAGACAUAUACAUUGACAUCACUAGUUUGAGUUAAUCAGUUAAGCAUCUCUCUUGAGGGGCUUUCUAUUAUCUUAAGUGGAUUUUAUUGAUAACAAUUGUUCUUUUUAGUUUUUCAUUAGAAUUUCUCAUCUUCAGUAUAUAAGAUUGUCUAAUUGAUACAUUCUGAAACAUUAGGUUUAGGUGGUAUUUCUUUUUUUGUUGGUUGAGGUGGAGAAUAGCAACAUUUGCUGAUAUUUGAAACUUUCCUUCCACCCAUUGUCGAUCAUAAUUUUUUGUUUUGGUUUUUCCUGAAAAGCUCUAAUUCUUUAUUAAAUGUAGUUCACUUGAGUGGUUGAGUCAUCAACAUUUAGAGGAUGUCUGAAAUACAUCGGGUGUAUAGGUUAUGAAAUAUAUUACGAUCAAUGGUUGUCUUUGGUUCAGGUUUGUUCAGGACAUCUAUAGGGUAGAGGGCAGGGAAGAAGACAGGAAUGUGAUUUCCCGAAUUCCUCUCUUGAUACCUAAGGUGCCUCAACAAAGGGAUGAUGAGGAAUGUGGAAGCUACGUUCUCUAUUUCAUCAACUUAUUUAUGCAAUUUGCUCCAGAAAACUUUUGUGAUUCUUAUUACCCAUACUUUGAUUCUGGAUAACAAUAAAUUUGAAGGAAGCAUCCCAUCAGCAAUAGGUCUAGUGAAUGAAAUGGAGAAGAUUGGAUUGGAAUUCGUUCAGUGGGUCUGUCCCUUCAAACAUUUCCAAUCUUACUGAAGUUACCAAAAUGCUUUUAUCUAACAACCAAUUCACGGGCUCUAUGCCUGACCUUACUGGCAUGAACCAACUCAGUUACUUGGACAUGAGCAACAAUAGUUUUGAUACUUCAGAUGUUCCAUCAUGGUUCACAACCUUGCCGUCGUUGAUUACUUUGUAAAUUUCUUGACUUCCCUUUUACACAAAAGGAUUAACUUAAUAAUUUUGUAUUGAAUGAAAUCAGAUAGAAUAUUCCUUUGUAAUGUAAUUUUAUCGUCAUACUGGAGAUGCGAAAAGACUGGUUUGAUCUUGAAAACUUAGAGUAUUUCCGCAACAACCUUGAGAAGGAACUGUCUAGUAAAGUAGCUGCUAAAAGCACACAACAAACUUGAAAAGUCAAAUAUUCAGAUAGGCUUGUUUCUCUGUUAAAAGCACACUCUUUCAUCUCUUGGCUGGCUGUUCAAGGAAGGCUUAGAACAAGAGAUAGGCUUGUUUCUCUGGGAUGCUGUGAGGAUGCAAGUUGUCUGCUUUGUGGUGAGGCAAAUGAGACUCAUGAGCAUUUAUUUUUUGAUUGUUCUUAUAGUAGAAUCUGUAUUAAGGCUGUUGGUUCAUGGCUAGGCAUCAAUGAGAGGUAUUUUAGACUUGACAGAUCGUGGAAGCAUUGACAGAGACAUAGUUGAUGCUCCUGUGUAGCUGUUUCUGUUCUGUUGAUGUUAGCUAUGAGGCUGUGUCUGCUCAGCUGGUUGUCCUGUUCAGCUAUUAGAUGCUAGUUCUUUUAUCUUAAUUACUGCAGGGUUGGUUUUCCUGUCUGUGUUGCUGUGAGCUGCUGUUUCUGCUACAGUGCUGUGUCUGCUAUGCUGUGAUGUCGAGUUUUCCUGUGUUGAUGUGAUGCACUGCUGUGUUGGUGUUGCUGUCUGCUUCCUUUUGCAGUGCUGUGUUGCUGGAAUUUGGGGUGCUGUGAUGCUGAGUUGAUGUGCUUGCUGUGCUGCUUUGGUGUUGCCCUGUGUUUUGUUAUUUUUGUAGCCUGUUGAGCUGCUUAGUUUGGGCAGCUUAGUUCGAUGUUUGCUGUUUAUAUGCUUCAUUAGAACAGGUUUUUGGAGUAUUAGAAGUAAAUUUCUAUAACUUUAUAUAUAUAUUAGUGUUUAUA